CUCUACAUCUCUCCAGGAGCAGGUAGAAAUACAACACCCAGAGCAGUACUCUACAUCUCUCUAGGAGCAGGUAGAAAUACAACACCCAGAGCAGUACUCUACAUCUCUCUAGGAGCAGGUAGAAAUACAACACCCAGAGCAGUACUCUACAUCUCUCUAGGAGCAGGUAGAAAUACAACACACAGAGCAGUACUCUACAUCGCUGUAGGAGCAGGUAGAAAUACAACACCCAGAGCAGUACUCUACAUCUCUCUAGGAGCAUGUAGAAAUACAACACCCAGAGCAGUACUCUACAUCUCUCUAGGAGCAGGUAGAAAUACAACACCCAGAGCAGUACUUUACAUCUCUCUAGGAGCAGGUAGAAAUACAACACCCAGAGCAGUACUCUACAUCUCUCUAGGAGCAGGUAGAAAUACAACACACAGAGCAGUACUUUACAUCUCUCUAGGAGCAGGUAGAAAUACAACACACAGAGCAGUACUCUACAUCUCUCUCUAGGAGCAGGUAGAAAUACAACACACAGAGCAGUACUCUACAUCUCUCUCUAGGAGCAGGUAGAAAUACAACACACAGAGCAGUACUCUACAUCUCUCUCUAGGAGCAGGUAGAAAUACAACACACAGAGCAGUA